CAGAAGUCACGGCUAACUACGUGCCAGCAGCCGCGGUAAUACGUAGGUGGCAAGCGUUAUCCGGAUUUAUUGGGCGUAAAGAGAGUGCAGGCGGUUUUUCUAAGUCUGAUGUGAAAGCCUUCGGCUUAAACCGGAGAAGUGCAUCGGAAACUGGAUAACUUGAGUGCAGAAGAGGGUAGUGGAACUCCAUGUGUAGCGGUGGAAUGCGUAGAUAUAUGGAAGAACACCAGUGGCGAAGGCGGCUACCUGGUCUGCAACUGACGCUGAGACUCGAAAGCAUGGGUAGCGAACAGGAUUAGAUACCCCUGGUAG
rnacentral:rRNA from 1 species